rfam:Triticum urartu cultivar G1812 contig1194121, whole genome shotgun sequence.
GUACUACUCCCUCCGUCCGAAAAAACUUGUCCCUCAAAUGGAUGUAUCUAGCACCAAAUUAGUGCUAGAUACAUCCAUUUGAAAGACAAGCUUGGGACAAGCUUUUUCAGACGGAGUGAGUACUUA